AUGGAAAGAAUUGGCAUUUUGCUCACAUUAUCUGCUUUCAUAACCAUUCAUUUUCAAGUGAAGGCCAAGAGCUUUUCUAAAAAUGUCAUAAAUGGCAAAUCCAAGGAAAGGGGCAACUUUAGCAGAUAUUCAGCAAGAGCAUCAGUGCUCAGAAGGACAAAGAGAGAGCUGUGAGCUCUGCACAAUGUGCUCCUUGUACAGCAGAGACAGAUUCCUUCAAAGUCAGUUAAAUUGCUAGCAACAUCUAACACAGGAAAAGGAAAAGAAGAAAAAGAAAAAUA
rnacentral:lncRNA from 1 species